UCUGAGUGUUAAUUUAACUCCCUUUGUUUCUCAGUUCCCUGCACACCCAAUAUGGGCUCAAUCUUUUUGGACUGCUACACUAACACGGCACUAUUGGACUGGGUCUUUUCCGAGGGCGCUGUAUAUUACAUGUCCACUGCACGCUCGUCUAACGGCCACGUGUCCACAUGCACUACCAACUUUACCAACUGCGAGCUAAUGGAGCUGCAGUGUGGUCAGAUCUACAAUGUGAUCACUGUGGCAGUGAAUGAUGAGUGCAGCAGCAGCCCCAGCUCCAGCCUGCAGGUGGAAUCAGUGCCUUGCCCUCCUCAGAACGUUAUGUCUGCACUGGACUGUUCCACAAACACAGCCUCCGUGAUGUGGCUGUCUGCUCCUGGUGCUCAGUCCUACAUCGUUCAAGCCCUGGGCAUACAGGAGCACCAAACGUCCUGCGAGACAAACUCACCAUUCUGUGUCCUGACAGACCUUGCGUGUGGCUUUACCUACAAUGUUAGCGUGAUUGCUGCUAACAGCGUGUGCAAUGUGUCACAGAGUGACAUACAGCAGCUGAAAGCAGGUGAGAAAGUGCUGAAAGUCAGAGAAAAAGGUUUGAAGGCUACGGCCAGAAUACGAGGCACAGUUUUUAGUUUUCUAGAUAAAAAAUUGGAAAAAAUAGGAGAGGACAAAAUAACACUGUGCAAAAAUGUGUGACUUUGUGUUCAUGUAUUUGGGUUUUAUUUUUAAUCUGAGGAAGUGCUGCAAACAACAAUAUUUAGUAUUUGAGGAGCAUGGUUCAGACACACUUUAAAAAGGCACCAGUGCCUUUUUAAAGGCACUGGUGCCUGAUUACGCUGAUUAUGUUUUUCAAACGUAAUCAGCUCGGAUUCUGGAUAACGGAUUGGAUCAAAUCUUGAAAAUGGGUAUGUAAUCGGAUUAGAUCACAUAAUCUAAUCUUUGUUUGAUCUGGAUCAAACCUUUAGUUUGGAUUUUUCAAAAUAUUUAAGUAGGAUUGUGAUCACUUUAAUCCAAAGAAUCUGGAUUAAGGGUAGAUUCAUGGGGGAUUUCAGGCCCAAAAUGUAAUGAAAUUUGAAAAGUAUAUCAAAUAAUUCUAUAUUUGGAUCAUGCAGUAUAGCCUACAGUAUAUCCAAUUUACUCAUAAGGUUUUAAUUAGAUUUGUUCAUCCUUUAGGUUACAGUGAUUAGGUAGGCUAUGCCGUAUUACAGCAAGGUAAAAAUGUUUGGAAAUGGCAUCACUGGUUUUUGAAAUCCAAAUCAGAAAUAGUGUCUAACAGUGGUGUAUUGUAGGAUAUGGGGUCAUAUUCCAUCGUGAGGAUCAAGGGGACUGUUUUUGUUUUAAAAUAGAACUAAAGAAAAAACAUAUUUUGUGAGCAGUUUAUCAAUGCAUACUUGUACAAUCCCACCUAUGAGCUAAAAGAAUAACAAUAUUAAACUACAGGCCAUUAGAUAAAACAGCUGUCUGUCAGGGAUGUAGCUGGGAUUGAAUAAUGUUUUUUGAAUCUUUGUCCUUGCAGUGCCCUGCGUGC
rnacentral:lncRNA from 1 species